CUCUUGGCAUGAAAGAACCUAUUGGGGAAACCCCCACUCAAUUCCCGAUUCGGAGUACACCCAAAGAAACACAAGAGACC
rnacentral:pre_miRNA from 7 species